UAACCGGUUAACCGGUUAACGGUUAACCGGUUAACCGGUUAACCGGUAACGGUAACCGG
rnacentral:sRNA from 1 species